rnacentral:lncRNA from 1 species
CAACACAUUCAAAUUCAUAUCACACUAAAGUUAUAAAAACAUAUUUGAUAAUUUAAACAUUAUACAUUCUACAGAUGUCCAUAAUAAAUAAAUAUGCAGAUGUGCUAAGUAUUUGCUUGGUGAUUUGUAUUGUUGUCACCUGAUCAUAUUCUCACAUCCACCGAAUGAAGCAGGCUCACUCUACAUAUCACAUGUUGAAACAGAGAAUUUUGAUCAAAAACUUAUAAAGGAAUAAAAUUUUGCCAAUAAGCUAAAAGGAAGAUCUUGGUAUAUAAAUAAACGAAAGGUCUGAUUCUUCUUACAAGUAAAUCUGUUACUUGAUCUAACAAUAGCAUUGAACUGAAAUUGUUAGAUACUCACAUGAAUAAGAGCUAAAGUACAAAGCUAUUUCCUUGGAUAUCAUCACAACACUUACAUCCACAAACUAUUUUACUUGAUAGCAUAAAUUCUUGCCAUAUAUUCACGAAAAUCAUAAUGUAACUAAUAAAAUAUAAAUUAACCAAUAUAGGCUUUCUAACAUUAGAAUCAAACAAAUAAAUUAUAAGUUGUAAUCUAUCCCAAUGAUUAACAAACUUGCAUCGAAACUGAAGGCUAAUAACACUAUAAAAUUGAAGUAGAAGAAAUGAACUGAAUAAAAUAGGAGUGGUCUAAUAGGAGUAGUUAGUUAAACAAAUCAAGCAUGUUAAAAUCUGUUGGAUCCAACUUCAAACAAAAGAAGAAACAAAUUAAAACGCGCAAAACUUUUUUUAAGGCAUGAAUUCCACUAGUAGCUGUAUUAUCCGCGAAAACUACAAGAAAAUAUAUAACAAAUUACUCUUAGUUACUUAAUGUGACCUGGGGAAAAGAUGUGAAAAGAUUUAGGAGAUGAGUUAACAAGCAUAACUUACCACUAAAUACCAUCAUAACAGCAUAUCAAUCUGUUAAACUAAAAUAUGCAUAGAUUAGCAUUCAAUCAAGUUGGCUUCAUCAAAGUUUGUCCAUAGAAUUACUCCACAGUAAGAGAUCCUCUUAUGGGGAACACAUACGAAUACAAGAUAUAAAAAAUAAGGUGAAUCAAAUGUGAAUACCAUUUCUGAACAUACCUUUAAACCAAAUAUGAAUGUCAUCUCUAAACAUACCUAUAAACGAAAUAAAUAAGCACUACUUAAAGAUGCAAUAUUGUUACCUUUAGAUAAAAUACCAUAAUAAAUAAAAUAUUUAUUCGGAUUUGUAUGUAUUUGUUGCUAAAUAAGUAGGAGUAUUUGCCUCGACUACAUCAUCAAUUAGAUGGUCUGUAACUAGUUAUAUCCUAACUCUUAGUAAGGCUCAUUUUCAUAACCUUCAUCUUUCACAACUUCUUAUGUAUCAUACAAAUCUCUUGGCUUUAGGUUUACAUAAAGCACUCUAUCCUUAAUUGAAAACAUCAUCUACGUAGUACACCAUAUUUAUGCUUGAGAUACUUCGAUGUAAGGCUCAUGUCCUUCAUCCUCAAUCUCGAGUAAUUAUAUAGAAAGUUGGAGUUUAUUUUCUUUUUCCAAAUAAAUAAAAUAUCAGUAACAUGCAAAUAAUUUACCUGCCUAAUGAUCUUUGUCUGCUAGAAAUAUUCAAAUUUGAAGGCAUAUAUAAAAUAAGUUCAAAAACUUAUGCGAGCCGUAGAUAAGCUAGUUUUUACAAUAAAAUGAGUCAACUUACUUGAUAGCGGGUUUGAAAUUACACCAUGUCCAGUACUCUUAGAAACGUGCACAUCUGCAAUAAUGAUAUGAUGCAAGACAUAUUACUAGAGGAAGUUUUCAUCUGCAGUAAUUUAUUUUUUAAGGGAAGUGAAAAACUAAACUACUAAAGUAUGAGCUAGAGAAGAAUAAAUUUGUCACCAUAGCAAGUAAAAGAGAUGCAUUCAUUGAAGACCAUGUACUGUUUUGAUAUUCCUCAAUGUAGAAGUGAGAAAAAUAUUAGCAAGUUCCCUGACUGAAUAAUCCGCAGAAUAAAAUGCAUUUAUGCUCUCCCAAUUCCCAUAUUAUAUUAAUUUAUGGGUCAAUCAAUUUCAACAUCACACAACAGAACUAAAUUCUAAUUGGAAUCUGGAAAAAACUUUGCGUUAAAUAAAGGAGCUUCUUACUACAACACUGAGUAAUUUGUAGCCAGAAGCAAAAUAUCUAAUGGUCUUCCCUCGAAUGACAACACUCUUUAAAAAAGAGAAUAAAUUUCAAGCUAGAUUGUUCAUAAGGGUUUUAUUACUGGUUCAAGCAAUAACUACAACUGAAAAACCCAAAUUCUACUACUAUUGAGAUAAAGAAAAUAAAUGAAAUUAAGAGGAAAAGAAAAAAAGAAAAAAAAUCACCUUUAGACGAGCAGCGACAUUCUGAAGUUGAUUCGCCCAAAUGGAUACUUCACUUCAGAAAUUCCCAAGACACAAUGCAAUACCAAUAAAUCGUAUUCCUAGCCUGAAAAUACCUUAAUAAAAAAUUACUUAAAUUGAAACAAUGGAGCAACACAAAAGACAUAAUCCGUGAUUUAAAAAUUAGAGCAGGAGCCAUAAAUUGAGAUGAAGAAUAAUACUUACAAAAUGUAACUAAUAUGGAUAGAAAAUUGAGAUAGAGAGCAUAUGAAGGGAAGCAAUGCACUAGAGAAGAAGCACUUCAGCCGAGGUGUUGAAAAGGGAAAACCUAGGGCUAGAGGCAUAAUGGAAUUAAAAGAGGGAAAGUGUAAUGAUCCGGCCGGUCGUUUCGAGAGUUGUAACCCUGUUUUCCCCUUUCCUACUUCUUUUGGUGUUAUUCAAUAAUAUUAUAUUAUAUCGGGUUAGAUGGUUCGAGUCCG